UACGUAGGCAGCGAGCGUUGUUCGGAGUUACUGGGCGUAAAGCGUGCGUAGGCGGUUCUCCAAGUCCGUUGUGAAAGCCCCGGGCUCAACCUGGGAAUGGCAGUGGAAACUAGGGGACUGGAAUCUGGCAGAGGGGGGUGGAAUGCCGCGUGUAGCAGUGAAAUGCGUAGAGAUGCGGCGGAACACCGAUGGCGAAGGCAGCCCCCUGGGCUGAGAUUGACGCUCAGGCACGAAAGCGUGGGGAGCAAACAGG
rnacentral:rRNA from 1 species